CACAAGAUGCUGCUCCAGCAGGGGCAGGGACCAUGUCAGCCUCCCACAAGACACACACGGGAAAGCCCUGCUUGUGAGGGCGCCACACCCAGGGCAGGAAUCAGAAUGAAGACACGACUCCACAGUGAGCACGGGGCUCAGGACAGGACCCAGCGUGGCAGACCAGCCAGAGAAGCUUUCACACUGCAAACAGCCCGCUCCACCUACACCCCGACUGGGCUCCACGACUCCCCGCAAGUGCCCUGCCACCUCAGGCACCUGCCCCCACGCCCACUCAGCGUCACCCCCUCGGCGGUUCAUCUCCAGAAGGCUUGGAAUUGAUGACGUUUCCGCACCACGAGGGGCUUUUGCGAUUCUGCGUCACUGAACUUGCAUCUCAUCCCCACGAUCCGACAUAAGCUUGCCAAGGACAGGACCUCGUGGCACCCGGGACAGGGGCCACCCCAUCCUACAUGUGACAAAGCUGUCCCUCCGUGGAGCUGGCGUCUCUGAUUUCCUCGGCCUGAGGGAGGCAGUGAAGAUGAAGGAAGGAGGGAGGGCGCCUUGGUGGUGGGUGCAGCUCUGUGCUGGUCUUUCUCUGGCCACCUAGACUUCAGUGGCCAAAUGGCUUCAGGAGACCCACUGGUCUUUCCUGUUUUAUUUUAUUUUUUACUUUUUUUUUAUUUUUAUUUUUUGAGACAGAGUUUCGCUCUUGGUGCCCAGGCUGAAGUGCAAUGGUGCCAUCUCAGCUCACCGCAACCUCUGCCUCCCAGGUUCAAGCAAUUCUCCUGCCUCAGCCUCCCAAGUAGCUGAGAUUACAGCCAUGCACCACCACGCCUGGCUAAUUUUUUGUAUUUUUUUUUUUUUUUUAGUAGAGAUAGGGAUGAGCCACCGCGCCCAGCCAGUCUUUCCUGUAUUAACAAAAGUAUUGGUAGUAGCAUUAGGUGUUAAAAAUUAUCAGCACAGCUUGGGACUGGCCACAAAAUUCUUCUAAAUCUCCCCAGGAUAAUCUCAUGAGAGCACGGAUGCUUUGCCCAGAAUCUCUGCAACCGAGGAAGGUCUGUGGCACGGGGUGGGCCCUGAGAGACUUCACCUAAAAACUUUGGGUUCAUUCCCCACCCGUGUGUGUAUGUAGGUGUCUCUGUAGACAGUGAUUAAAAAUACUCCUGACU
rnacentral:lncRNA from 1 species